AACGAACGCUGGCGGCAGGCUUAACACAUGCAAGUCGAACGCCCCGCAAGGGGAGUGGCAGACGGGUGAGUAACGCGUGGGAACAUACCCUUUCCUGCGGAAUAGCUCUGGGAAACUGGAAUUAAUACCGCAUACGCCCUACGGGGGAAAGAUUUAUCGGGGAAGGAUUGGCCCGCGUUGGAUUAGCUAGUUGGUGGGGUAAAGGCCUACCAAGGCGACGAUCCAUAGCUGGUCUGAGAGGAUGAUCAGCCACAUUGGGACUGAGGCACGGCCCAGACUCCUACGGGAGGCAGCAGUGGGGAAUAUUGGACAAUGGGCGCAAGCCUGAUCCAGCCACGCCGCGUGAGUGAUGAAGGCCUUAGGGUUGUAAAGCUCUUUCACCGAUGAAGAUAAUGACGGUAGUCGGAGAAGAAGCCCCGGCUAACUUCGUGCCAGCCGCCGCCGUAACAC
rnacentral:rRNA from 1 species